AACUGCUGUUACAACAUACGUCAUUUUGAUUAAAAACUGACAGUGUAUGUUUAUUGUGACCAUAUCGUAACAUUUAUAAAUAUGCUAGUGAUUAAAACAAAAUAUGAAUAAAAAUUACAUUCCCUUAGAUCAAACUGCACUGUUAUUACAUUCCCAUAGAUCAAACUGCACUGUUAUUACAUUCCCUUAGAUCAAACUGCACUGUUAUUACAUUCCCUUAUGUUUGAUCUGCACUGUUAUUACAUUCCCUCAUGUUUGAUCUGCACUGUUAUUACAUUCCCUUAUGUUUGAUCUGCACUGUUAUUACAUUCCCUUAGAUCAACUGCACUGUUAUUACAUUCCCUUAGAUCAAACUGCACUGUUUGUCAGCAUGUCUGUUUGUCCUAGAACAACCUUCUUGUUUUGCUUCAUUUGCUACAAAUAUUUGAAUCAUCAGUGAAAAAGAUUUUUCUUUGGAUCGUGCUUUACAAGCAGUUUGCAGGUGGCCCGUUCUCUAAAUCUAAAAGCUCUGAAAAGAAGAACUGUGUUUGAUCUUCAUUUAGUUUAUUGAACAUCCAGUUAAAAGUUGCUUUUCAUAUAUUGAUGUGUAAAUAUGACUAUAUGAAAUGUCCGAACUUUCAAAAAUAAAGCAUUACAUACUCGUACACAAAACUUUUGUCUAGUUUUCACAGUAGCUUUUGUUUCUUGGGGGCACGUGCGUGUUGGUAGGGGACAUAACUUGCAUUCACCAAAUUCGUUGACAGUGUAUUUACAUUUCUAAGUAUCGCAGUCAAGAUCUUAAUUCGUAGCGUUUUAAAUUGUCUGUGACAGUCUGUAUCACUUACACUUGUUCUAGCUAUAAAUCAACAGGUCAAAAAGAGAAUAAAAAAUGCCUCAAGACAGAGGUGGUGACUCUGCCUUAGCUAAAGCUCAAUGAAAAACUUAGGGGUUGAAAUAUUCUACUAUCUUUUUUUGUCAUGCAUCAUUUCAAAAUAACUGAUCAUUUAUAAAAAUAGCUACGAGGAGACACUGUUACUUUUGAAGGUCACGGCGUAAACACCUCUGCUUUUGUCUACGUUCAUUAGUUUGGUAAGUGUUUUUGCACAUUUAUGUGUUGAUGAAAUGAUCGCAUCCAUAUUGUACACCCCGACCUUUUCCCUUUACACAAAAUCCUCUCUGAUAAGAGCGGGCUUGACAUUGCUGCACUUUUAACCGCUUUUUUUUCUAUUUCAGAUGAUAACACAGUACAUAUGUAUGUAGUAAUUAUAAUUGGAGUUGUUGCGUUAAUAGCUGUGCUUGCGUGUGCUAUUUCAAUUUGCAGUUUCUUGAGGAUACACAGAGAGAUGAGGAAGCAAAAGCAAAAUUAUGAUAUUACACUUCCCGAACUGAUAGAUGUUAGAUCUACCUCGAACUGACCGAAUCGUCAUCGAAGACACAAGUCUCUCAACGGAACAACACUGGAGGAGUCCAAAUGUUGAUACUACUAUAUCUAAUUCUUUCGUGGGAUCAAAACAAUCAGCUAGUAUCUAAAGGUUUUGGAUCUACCAAGUGCCGGCUCUCUCUAACACUACCAUUAAAGCUGAUCUAAAACACAAAACACGACAUUCUUGAUUUAUGUGUUUUACUUAUUUGCACAGGUUAUAUCUAUUUGACUCUUUUGCUGUCGUUAUUGCAUUCCUUUAACACCUUUGUUAACAUUUUAUUUUAUUUACAUAUACAUAGAUACAGACAGACUUUGAUAAUUGUGUACCUUCUAACAUCCCUGUUAUAUAUAUUAUAGUAAUAUUGUUUUCAUUGGUACGACAGACUGUGCAGCUUUUUGUAGCUUUCUCUCACUGUUGUCAUAAAAUUACACAUAAUUCCGAUAUUGACCGUACCACUGCGCUUGGUAACCCUGAAAGAUAUUAUUUCUUUUUUCUCUGGAAACAAUUUUGUGUGGAUUGUGUCACUCUGAGUAUUGUAUCCGAGGUAUAUUUACCCUAGGUUAUGAUAAUGAAACAUUUAAAUAUUACUAACUAAAGCCGUGUGUUUAAGCUUAAAAAUGCUAUUAUUAUAGCAGUAUGGUGUGUCUGUCUGCACAAUAUUUUAUUCAGUAAUUCAUAUACUAGCUACUUAACAAUUUGUAGAUACUAUAUACCAUGAACAUUAACCUUUAGCAUGCUAGAUAAAUUGUCGUCUGCUGGAAAUGUCGUCUGCUAAAAUUGUAAAGUUCAUUCAAUUUGCUCCAAAAUUGGAAGAAAUAUUGUCAGAGUAGCAAACAGCUUGG
rnacentral:lncRNA from 1 species